AUGGUUUCCGAAGACGAAAGCAGUGACGAUACGUCCAGCCUGUCGUACAUGCACUCGACCUCAUCCACCGACGGGCUUAACCAGGUCCCUUUCAGCCUUGAAAAUCCCGAUUACCAGGGGCUUGAGCUGGAUCUGAUGUCCCCAUGUGAGAAGCACGGCAAGGCAUCUGAGAGUCUUGUUGCCUUUGAAGGAACAGACACAGGCAGAAGGUUCUUAGCAUGUGCAGAGCCGAAAGGAAAAACAGUUAAUUUACAGUGCUAUUGCUUUCCUUUAUUUACCUGUGAAUGCAUUGUUGAAGCUGUGGGCAAUGGUUGA
rnacentral:rRNA from 1 species